ACUCCUACGGGAGGCAGCAGUGGGGAAUAUUGCACAAUGGGCGCAAGCCUGAUGCAGCCAUGCCGCGUGUGUGAAGAAGGCCUUCGGGUUGUAAAGCACUUUCAGUCGUGAGGAAGGUAGUGUAGUUAAUAGCUGCAUUAUUUGUACGUUAGCGACAGAAGAAGCACCGGCUAACUCCGUGCCAGCAGCCGCGGUAAUACGGAGGGUGCGAGCGUUAAUCGGAAUUACUGGGCGUAAAGCGCAUGCAGGUGGUUUGUUAAGUCAGAUGUGAAAGCCCGGGGCUCAACCUCGGAAUAGCAUUUGAAACUGGCAGACUAGAGUACUGUAGAGGGGGUUAGAAUUUCAGGUGUAGCGGUGAAAUGCGUAGAGAUCUGAAGGAUACCGGUGGCGAAGGCGGCCCCUGGACAGAUACUGACACUCAGAUGCGAAAGCGUGGGAGCAAACAGGAUUAGAUACCCCUGGUAGACUGUCA
rnacentral:rRNA from 1 species